rnacentral:rRNA from 1 species
AUUGAACGCUGGCGGCAGGCCUAACACAUGCAAGUCGAGCGAGCGGCGGACGGGUGCGUAAUGUAUGGGUGCUGCCCGAUCGAGGGGGAUAACUACUGGAAACGGUAGCUAAUACCUCAUACGAUCAGAUAAUCCAUAUGGGAUUAGCUAGUAGGUGAGGUAAUGGCUCACCAAGGCGACGAUCCCUAGCUGGUCUGAGAGGAUGAUCAGCCACAUUGGGACUGAGACACGGCCCAGACUCCUACGGAGGCAGCAGUGGGGAAUAUUGCACAAUGGGCGAAAGCCUGAUGCAGCCAUGCCGCGUGUAUGAAGAAGGCCCUAGGGUUGUAAAGUACUUUCAGUCGGGAGGCGUUACCGACAGAAGAAGCACCGGCUAACUCCGUGCCAGCAGCCGCGGUAAUAC